CACACACACACACACACACACACACACACACACACACACACACACACACACACACACACCUACCUGGUGUUCCCUAAUGAACCCUGACCUCCUGACGAUGGCCUGGAAAGGAGACUGUGCUGAUCCAGAUGUCAUCUCUCACUCUGGGCUCAGAUGGGGUUAAUGUAUCUAAUAUAUAAAUCACAGAUGGGGUUAAUGUAUCUAAUAUAUAAAUCACAGACAGGGUUAAUGUAUCUAAUAUAUAAAUCACAGACGGGGUUAAUGUAUCUAAUAUAUAAAUCACAGAUGGGGUUAAUGUAUCUAAUAUAUAAAUCACAGACGGGGUUAAUUUAUCUAAUAUAUAAAUCACAGACGGGGUUAAUGUAUCUAAUAUAUAAAUCACAGACGGGGUUAAUGUAUCUAAUAUAUAAAUCACAGACGGGGUUAAUUUAUCUAAUAUAUAAAUCACAGACAGGGUUAAUGUAUCUAAUAUAUAAAUCACAGACAGGGUUAAUGUAUCUAAUAUAUAAAUCACAGACAGGGUUAAUGUAUCUAAUAUAUAAAUCACAGACGGGGUUAAUGUAUCUAAUAUAUAAAUCACAGACGGGUUUAAUGUAUUUAAUACAUAAUGUGAUACGGGGACAUGGAUGAGGACAGGGAGGAGAUAAGAGCUGAGCUGUUUGGGGUUGACACACUGAGUCAGAAGCACACACACACACACACACACACACACUCUCACACUCUCACAUACACACACUCACACUCACUCACUCACACUCACACACACACACACACACACACACACACUCACACACACUCACACACACUCUGGUGAGGUUGGUUUGCAUGUGACCCAUAGUAAUGGUGUCAGUUCAGUGUUCAGGUGUGUUGCCCGGGGCAACUGUGAUUGAGUCACGUGAUCAUACUCUGAUCAGAGCUGGAAGC
ensembl:lncRNA